rnacentral:rRNA from 1 species
GAUGAACGCUGGCGGCGUGCUUAACACAUGCAAGUCGAACGGAAAGGCUCCUGCUUGCAGGGGUACUCGAGUGGCGAACGGGUGAGUAACACGUGGGUGAUCUGCCCUGCACUUCGGGAUAAGCCUGGGAAACUGGGUCUAAUACCGGAUAGGACGAUGGUUUGGAUGCCAUUGUGGAAAGUUUUUCGGUGUGGGAUUAGCUCGCGGCCUAUCAGCUUGUUGGUGGGGUAAUGGCCUACCAAGGCGUCGACGGGUAGCCGGCCUGAGAGGGUGUACGGCCACAUUGGGACUGAGAUACGGCCCAGACUCGUACGGGAGGCAGCAGUGGGGAAUAUUGCAGAAUGGGCGCAAGCCUGAUGCAGCGACGCCGCGUGGGGGAUGACGGCCUUCGGGUUGUAAACUCCUUUCGCUAGGGACGAAGCGCAAGUGACGGUACCUGGAGAAGAAGCACCGGCUAACUACGUG